AUGCUCACCCUCCGGCGAGGACGACGCCACACGGACCGGGAACGGAGCCAGGGCCACCCCAUGUGCCACGACGACCGCCAGCCGCCCGCGACGGCAUUCCAGCAUGCCUCCUCACAGCCUCCGGCCCCCGCCCGCUGCCCAUCACGAGGACGCGCCGAAGUCGCUGCAGCCAGGAACUCGCCAAACUCCGGAGGAGUCCGGGAGACCGGCAUCUCGACCCGCCCGUCCUCAUCCGUCUCCUCGUCAGCCACGUCCGCCAACCGGAACGGGGUGGGGCGGGGAACCCAGGUCGGGCCUGGUGGGGGCGCCGGCGCGACCGCCCGCACCGCACCCUGCUCGAACCCGCGGUGA
rnacentral:rRNA from 1 species